ACAGCACUGUGGAAGGUUCUUUUUUUCCAGGACUGACUGUGUUGUCUUAUGCUGUGAGAACCUGUGAGGGGUGAAGGCAGAGCCCUGUGCUGAAAGCUGCCAUUGACCCAAGAGCGAAAUGGCAAAGAGCUGCAAAACGCCAACAGCCACAAGGUGUGACAAGAGCCAAAUCCCACAGUGGUUGGGAGUGGUUGUUGGACCAGUGCUGACCCCUGGCUCUGUUCAAACAGCACUGUGCUCCGAUGUCACUUUGGAAUCUAAGUGGUUUCAAAGCCAAAAGAAACUGACUCUUUUCACAGAGCCAGCAUCUCCCCAGACAGCAGCACAACAACACAGUUACACUGGAGCCAGCAGGAAUAGCUGGUGAAGCCUUCCCGUGAUGACAAGCCCCCAGCUUGAUGCUCCCUCUGGAGCUCUAAUGGCUGCAAACAAAAGGAGACUCAAGAGAGAGACCCAUGGAAGGGCAGAAGCAAGGAGCAGCCUCUGCACAGUGUUCUCCUCUCCUUCCACUCAUCUUGGACAAUAUCACCAUAGAGCAAUCAUCACAGGACCACUAAAAAUUUAAAGAAACUUAAAAAGUUAUUUAGUUCAUUCUCCCGCUUUCAAAUGCAGGAUCAAAUUUAAAUCAACUCAUGAUAGAUGAUUGUUCCCCUGUCCUGAAGGAAUUUCUAGUUAUGGACAUGACUUAAUUUCCUUAGUAAUUUGUUUUUGUCUUUUUUCAGUCUUUACCAUUAGACAUUUUUCCCCAAUAGCCCACUAAACUAGGAAAUUUAAGCUCAUCAUUUAUUUUAGCAGACAGAGAAGCACUUUUUCCCUUCCUCACUGAGGAACACUCGACAUGUUUGAGGCUUCCAGGACAUCUUCCAGAACCCAUCUCCUCAAUUCCAGACUGGGAAAGGCAGACAGAUGUCUUUAGGAUCUGCAGAAGUUCCCAGAACUUUGUGACUGGUAAGGUGAACUGGGUGGUGAAGAGAAACCUGUUGUGUUGAGAAGCUCCUAGUCUGCUGAAGCCCCUGGACUUCAGGAAAGUACACAGAUAUGACAGAGGAUGCAGGGGUCAAUAUUCUCCAAGAACAUUUACAUAACUUCUUCAAAAGCAAUAAAAUGAUGAAAC